rnacentral:sRNA from 1 species
AACCUGUAUUCCGAACUGUUACCGGACUGGUAGCGUGUCAAGGCAACUUGUCUAGGGACGUGGUUGGAA